GACGAACGCUGGCGGCGGGCUUAACACAUGCAAGUCGAACGGAAAGGCCCUGCUUUUGUGCGGUUCUCGAUUGGCGAACGGGUGAGUAACACGUGAGUAACCUGCCCUUGACUUUGGUAUAACUUCAGGAAACUGGGGCUAAUACCGGAUAGGAGCUCCUGCUGCAUGGUGGGGGUUGGAAAUUUUGGGCGGUUGGGGAUGGACUCGCGGCUGAUCAGCUUGUUGGCGGGGUAAUGGCUUACCAAGGCGACGAUCGGUAGCUGGCCUGAGAGGGUGAUCGGCCACACUGGAACUGAGACACGGUCCAGACUCCUACGGGAGGCAGCAGUGGGGAAUAGUGGACAAUGGGCGCAAGCCUGAUCCAGUGAUACCGCGUGUGUGAAGAAGGCCUUCGGGUUGUAAAGCCGUUUUGUUGGGAAAGAAAAGCAGCAGGUUAAUACCCCGCUGUUCUGACGGUACCGAAAGAAUAAGCACCGGCUAACUUCGUG
rnacentral:rRNA from 1 species